AAUAGAUACCCAGGUAGUCCACGCCCUAAACGAUGUCUACUAGUUGUCGGGUCUUAAUUGACUUGGUAACGCAGCUAACGCGUGAAGUAGACCGCCUGGGGAGUACGGUCGCAAGAUUAAAACUCAAAGGAAUUGACGGGGACCCGCACAAGCGGUGGAUGAUGUGGAUUAAUUCGAUGCAACGCGAAAAACCUUACCUACCCUUGACAUGUCAGGAACCCUCGAGAGAUUGAGGGGUGCCCGAAAGGGAGCCUGAACACAGGUGCUGCAUGGCUGUCGUCAGCUCGUGUCGUGAGAUGUUGGGUUAAGUCCCGCAACGAGCGCAACCCUUGUCAUUAGUUGCUACGAAAGGGCACUCUAAUGAGACUGCCGGUGACAAACCGGAGGAAGGUGGGGAUGACGUCAAGUCCUCAUGGCCCUUAUGGGUAGGGCUUCACACGUCAUACAAUGGUACAUACAGAGGGCCGCCAACCCGCGAGGGGGAGCUAAUCCCAGAAAGUGUAUCGUAGUCCGGAUCGCAGUCUGCAA
rnacentral:rRNA from 1 species